UCACCCUCCUUUCCUUCCAUUUUCUCAAAAGAGAUAUACAGGCACAGAGAGAAAAGGGAGAAAGACAGAGGCGGAAGACAAUAGAGAGAGCCGGAGCCGGCGAAUCUCCGGCAAACGACCCCACGCGUGCUCGCCUCACACCCACAGAGACGAAGUCGUCGAGUCUAGGGUUUCCCGGCUAGGGUUCCGAUCAAGUUCUCGCCAUUUCUGGUUACCUGCGGUGAGGUUCCGGCGAAGAUUUCGGUACCGCUCGGAUUGGGUUAGUCUGUGUUGUUCGCUAUCACACUUCAUCAUCAGAUUCGGUCUUGUCCGGUCAUCAGGCGAAGCGGGUUUUGGUGAUCAUAUAGGUAUGGCUCUGGAGUAGGGUUUGUUGGUGAAAAAGGCAGUCGACCGAUGCAUUGUUGUUGUUCAGGUCAAGAUUGAACUGUGUGUACAUGUUUGCUCUACGUACAGGUAUUGUAUAUAACACAGGUACAGUGGGGUUAUGGAUUUCGUGAAAGCCACACUUGAGAGUGACACAAGAUAUUAUUUUUUUCUUAGGUGCUCGCUUCCGAAGCUAGAAGAAAACAUAAAACCAGGGGCAACACAACUUCUGCAGGUUUAUUUGGAAGUCAGGCGGCCAAAACAAUUAGAACUAUAGAUACAACGAUUAACUGCUAUUUUGCAAAUUUCCCUUUACAUAAAGAACUAUCUACAGGUCCAACAAGAAUAGAGUUUUCUCAUCGACUAGAAAAGGUGGGAGUGACCUUGAGCCAGUGGCAGAGGAGUUGCCAGCCAAUCAUGAAUUGGCUCAACUUAACUUUCUGAACAGGAAUCGUCACCUGAAUGAUGUUUUAAUUGUCCGGAUCCAAUAAGAAGAGAAUUUUCUUAUUGACUAGAAAAAGUGGGAUAGACUUGGACCAACAGCGGCAGAGUUCAGUGGUCCCAGUUUCAAGUUGACUCGACUUUCUGAAAAUGAAUUGUCAGCUGAAUAUGGGUCAAAUAGAUGGGUCAAAUGGGUAAAAGUUAUUUCUAGCAGACUGGUAUGUUUAAUUCAGCAUCGAGAUGUCCGCGUUUGAGGUUUGAUCAGAGUCGACUUGAUAGAAACGCACUGGAGGAUGGGGUUACACCAACACUGAACAAACUCACAAGUCUUGGCAAGUUAUGGGUAAAAUAUGUAUUCUUUUACAAACAUAUUUGACUUUGAUUAUUACUCGAGCUUUGAUAUUUUGCUCCUCUUGUCAUGUCAUGAUCAGCAUUAUGGAAUUUGGAUCACUUAAAAGGAGGCUACCAAAAACCUUAUUCAAUCUAUUUGGAAUUCAACAAGUGUAAGAACAACAAAAACCAUCUGUAGAUGAUCAACUUGAAAUGCCGAUGUGGAGGCAAUGGAAGGUAUACAGGUGAAGGUAUUAGUGACACGAAGAAAACUAGGUGUCCGGACGUAUGAAGCAAAUGGAAAUGAAAAAAAAACUUUUGUGAUCUAUAUAUAAGCGGAAGACUGUAUAUAUUAAAACCUAUGUAUUUGUCUUAAACGCCCCGUUGAAACAUAUCAACAUCCCUUUGUAUCAACUUCAUUAGUGUAAAAUGAUCAACUUCAUUAGCGCAA